CCAAGGGGCAGGACCAGCACGAGGGAUAAGACGCUAAAGACGGGAAUUCUCACCCGGAUAGAACACGCGGGUGAUCGUCUCAUGUUCACCAAACGCUUGGUAUCAAGUCAGUGAAAAGUACUGGCCAUAAAACAACAGAGCAACAAGGUGAGGGACUGGCUUCUCCUGGCCAGUGACAGCGGCACGAGGCCAGAAUUGGAAACCACCAGUUGAACAAUGGCUCCAUCCUAUAGGCAGAGUGAGACACUGGCCUGUCUUCUUCGUGUUUGUUUUGGUCCCCUCGGCCCACAUCGGCGUCCAGGGCUCUUCCACUCGCUGUCACCUGG
rnacentral:lncRNA from 1 species